rfam:Rhodnius prolixus Rhodnius_prolixus-3.0.3-144.15, whole genome shotgun sequence.
UCAACGGCCCUUUUCAGGGCCACCAUUUUUUAUCACUUAAAAGUAU